GGCAGCGCGCGGCCAACUGGCGCGGCGCCCGCGGAGAAGGGCCGCCGCACACCCCGGCACGUUACGCCUUUCUGCCGGCUGGCCCGGGUCUCGUUAGUCUUCGUUCUUUAAAAGGCAGCAUUCUUUAGCCGGCGACUGGGUCGGUGUCUAGCUGGAACGCGCCCCCAUCUCACGUCAGCCGCUCUACGCCAGCCGGCUUACUAUGCUCAGUACCCCUCUCCCGGAAUUUGGGGGGAAAGUACCUUGUUAAGGGAAGUUCAGCAGGUAAAAGUUAGUGUCACCUGUACAGCGAAUUCUCUGUCCCCAAAUGCGCUAGCGAGGGAAGUCCCCUCGCUUCGGAUUUGAGAGAGUUCAUUGUUAGGAGCUUACCUGCUUUUAUCUUACUAUAUCAAGAAAUGUGCGGGGUAAGAAAAUGCUAGCUGUGCAGUCUAGGGUUAAGAUUUACAUUUUAGCUAUCUCUUAACAAAAUUAACAAUUCAUUGGAGCUGGAGACGUAGCUCAGUGGUGGAGCGCUCAUUCUAGCAUGAGUGAUGGCCUGGUACCACAGUACCACAGAAAAAGAAGAAGAAAAAUUCAGUUCCUUAGUGGACUAACCACAUUUCAGGUGCGCAGUAGUCCACAAGUGCCUAGUGGCUGAUUAUCACAGCGAGCUUAGGUAGGAUAUUUAUAUUAUCAAAAAAAGUUCUUUGGGAUACAACUGAGAAGAUUAAAAUACUGGGAACAGAAAAGUGACUUUAAUCACGUAAAGUAAUGAAAACACUAACCAGGGGGGAACAAAAACAUAGGCUGCAGAAGUUAGAAGAAAUCUGUAAUAGAAGCUGUCAACAGGUUCUUUUUACUUAUAUCUGUAACUUAGGACACAUAGAAAAUCACCUUCAAAAAUCACAAUCUUUAGGGGCUGGGGCUGUAGCUCAGUGGCAGAGCACUUGCCUGGCAUGUGUGAGGAGACACCGAGUUCAAUCCUCAGCACCGCAUAUAAAUAAAUAAAGGUAAAUCACCAACUAAAAAAUGUUUUUUAAAAAUUAAAACCUUUAAUUUUCCUGGUUUCUGAAAUUAUGUCGUUGAAACUAAGUAUCUAGAUUAAAUACUCAAGAAUGCCCCGCAUUUGUUGGCCUCAGUGGGAUUGCUGAAUUAUAGUGUAUAUGUGUGUUCCACUUUAUUAUACAUUGAUAAACAGUUUUCUGAAAUUGGUCACUGGACAACGAUGCCCAGUCUUGUCAUUUCUAUUCAAUAGCAUAUAACUAUAGGGACAAGUAAGGAAAAUUGAGAAAUGGCAUAAUGAUUGGAAAGAAUGAAACAAAAUUGCUAUUACUAUAGCCAAUAUAUUGAAUGCAUAGACAUCCAAAGUAAUCUACAGGUAAAUCUUAAUAAAUGACUUUAGCAAUAAUCCUGAAUCAAUGUAAGAAAAAUCAAUUGUAUUUUUACAUUGCAGCACCAAAUAGAACAUUUUAAAUUUUAAUUGCAAAUCAUUCAGAAAAAUUUUUGACAAAACAUCAAGACCUCUAAAAUGAAACUACAAACUAUUUCAAAGAGAAACAGCUGAACCAAGUAAAUGGAAGACUAUAUGAUGUUAAUGGCUUGAAAAUUUUAGUAUUGUUAAAGUUGCCAAUACUUCUCUAAGUAACCUAUAAAUUCAACACAAUCUUAAUCAAAAUCCCAAGAGAUUUUUUUAGUGGAGAUUAACAAACUGAAUUAACAUUUAUAUAAAAAUGCAAAGGGCCUGGAAUAGCCAAAAUAAUCUUGAAGAGGAAAUAGGAUUUUACCAGAUAUUAAGACUUCAAAGCUAUAGUACUUAAAAUAGUGUGUUAUAGCACAAGCAUAGACAAAUAGAAUAAUGGGACAGAAUAGGAUCCAAAAACAAACCACCAAAAAAUAGCCAACAAGAGCAGACAUAGAGGACUUAAAAUGCCAAAACCUGCAAUGAAGGUGGUGUGGUAUAAAGGAAGGAGAGCAAAGAAUAGGCUCACAUGUGAACAGCCACAUAAGAUGUGUGUUUCCCCAAGGUUGGUGCUGGUAAAAGGGGAGUGAUGGCAUCUUCCACAAAUGGUGCUGGAUCCAAAAGAGCACACGUUGCCUGUUUCCAUCCAUGUGAAUUUCAACAACAGGCAACAGAACAGUGACUGACUGGGGCAGCACAGGUGAUGUGUGGUAUUGACUGGGAAGGAGCAUGAGGGACCAUUCUGGGAUCCUGGAAAUCGGCUGUCUUAGCCUAGGUGAUGGGUGCACUGUUUUACGUAAUAUAUUCUGUGUGUCUAUAAUCAUUGCGCUGAACAUUUAAGAUUUUUGAACUUUGUAAAGUUAGUGCUAACCUCAAAAUUAUAAUAAAAUUAAAUAAGUGGUGCUAUUUCGUUUAGAAAUGGAAACUACACAUAGUAUCGCACAUGGUAUUUAAUGAGCUAACACCACCUAGUAAAUAUAGUAAAACUAUAUAUCCAAAGUUACAUAAUGCACCUAGAUUCUCUGAAAUCGCCAACCACUACAAAGUAUAGAUAAGAACCACACAGGAUUAAGAUAGCAAUUUACUCAUUCCAUAUUUUGGAGACAUGAAGUGUAUCUGCUGCUUAGAUUAUACCAAAUGUAAUUAAUGUAUCUAACAGAAAUGCUAACACUUAUUCAACUUUGUGCACAGCCUCCAAAAUGGCUUUAGUAAAAGACCAAAUAAAUUAUAGUUUAAAAAAAAAAACUAUAGCCAAUAUAUUGAAGUCUUCCCUUUUUGACUUCUCUAUAAGAAUGGAUCUGGGCCCUGUCAACAUUCUUUCUUUUGCCUAUUGCUGUGAUGUUAAGCUUUGUCAGUAGCAGGCUGGCCAUGGACUGGAGAGUCAAACAAAAAGUAAACUAAUUCUAGAGAAGAACGUGUGAGAAUACUUCUACAGCUAUUUUUUUUUUUUUUUUAAUGCUAGGCAUUGAACUCAGACAUUGUAGGAUAAAAGGGCUUGCUUCCUGGUUGGUGUGUGCUUGCUCAGCAUGAUCCUUCAGCCCAGAAGGUUCCUGCAAUAGCCACUUGGGAGGGAGGCGGCAUAGAAAAGGACCUCCAGUGAGAUAUCUCCACUUGCACAGUUUCCCAUACCCCUGAGAAAGAGGGCAGGGUAGUAGGUUGAAUGGUGCCCAAAAAUACGUGUGUCCAGAACUUGUGGUGGGUAUUUGCAAAUGUAAUUAAACUAAGUAGUUUAAGUGAAGAUCAUCCUAAAUUAUCAGGGUGGGCCCUAAAUUCAAUAACAAGUGUCUUUCUAAGAGAAGGGCACAAAGAGAUGCGAGUCAGAGGAAAAGGAAGAUUCAGGCAGAUUAGGCGAUGUAGCCACAAGAACAACUGGAGCCCCAGUGCUGGGAGAGACAAGGAAGGGUGCCUCCUAAAUCCUUCAGAGGGUACACAGUCCUGUGGACACCUUGAAUUUGGACUUCUGGCCUGCAGAUCUGUGGGAGAAUAAACUACUGUUGUCUUAAGCCACCAAGUUUAUUGUGAUUUGUUACGGCAGUCAGUUGCAUAAGAUUUCUAAGUUCUAACCAGGGUGGCACCCCAGCAACUCAUCUGGAGUUCAGUGAGCCAACAAUGUUCUUCUCCAAGGGGGCCUGAGAAGGGUGACAGCUGUUCCUUUGCCCAUUAUUCCCUCUAAAGUUUUUACUUGUAAAUCCUUCAUUAGU
rnacentral:lncRNA from 1 species